CCUACGGGAGGCAGCAGUGGGGAAUAUUGGACAAUGGAGGAAACCCUGAUCCAGCAACGCCGCGUGAGUGAAGAAGUUUUUCGGAAUGUAAAGCUCUUUUGGCAGGGAAGAAUGAAAUGACGGUACCUGACUAAUAAGCUCCGGCUAACUACGUGCCAGCAGCCGCGGUAAUACGUAGGGAGCAAGCGUUGUUCGGAUUUACUGGGUGUAAAGGGAGCGUAGGCGGUUAUGCAAGUCAGGAGUGAAAUACAGGGGCCUAACCCGGGGACUGCUUGUGAAACUGUAGGACUGGAGUGCAGGAGAGGUAAGUGGAAUUCCUAGUGUAGCGGUGAAAUGCGUAGAUAUUAGGAGGAACACCAGAGGCGAAGGCGGCUAACUGGACUGCAACUGACGCUGAGGCACGAAAGCGUGGGGAGCAAACAGGAUUAGAUACCCCGGUAGUC
rnacentral:rRNA from 1 species